rnacentral:rRNA from 1 species
AUGAAUCUCUUGGCCUGGAACUAUCGAGGACUGGGGUUGGACUCGACAGUUGGCGAACUCCGUGACCUGAUUCGGUCACACAACCCAGCGGUGGUGUUCUUGAGCGAAACGAAGAAGAAGGCUCGGGCUAUGGAGAAACUAAAAUGGAGUCUUGGCUUUAGAAAGGGAGUGGCUGUGGAUUGCAAGGGGAUGAGUGGGGGCACAGCCCUAUGG